GAAACCAACCGGGAUUGCCUUAGUAACGGCGAGUGAAGCGGCAAAAGCUCAAAUUUGAAAUCUGGUACCUUCGGUGCCCGAGUUGUAAUUUGGAGAGGGCAACUUUGGGGCCGUUCCUUGUCUAUGUUCCUUGGAACAGGACGUCAUAGAGGGUGAGAAUCCCGUGUGGCGAGGAGUGCGGUUCUUUGUAAAGUGCCUUCGAAGAGUCGAGUUGUUUGGGAAUGCAGCUCUAAGUGGGUGGUAAAUUCCAUCUAAAGCUAAAUAUUGGCGAGAGACCGAUAGCGAACAAGUACAGUGAUGGAAAGAUGAAAAGAACUUUGAAAAGAGAGUGAAAAAGUACGUGAAAUUGUUGAAAGGGAAGGGCAUUUGAUCAGACAUGGUGUUUUGUGCCCUCUGCUCCUUGUGGGUAGGGGAAUCUCGCAUUUCACUGGGCCAGCAUCAGUUUUGGUGGCAGGAUAAAUCCAUAGGAAUGUAGCUUGCCUCGGUAAGUAUUAUAGCCUGUGGGAAUACUGCCAGCUGGGACUGAGGACUGCGACGUAA
rnacentral:rRNA from 1 species